GAAGGUGUGCUGUGAGGCAUGCUGGAGGUAUCAGAAGUGCGAAUGCUGACAUAAGUAACGAUAAAGCGGGUGAAAAGCCCGCUCGCCGGAAGACCAAGGGUUCCUGUCCAACGUUAAUCGGGGCAGGGUGAGUCGACCCCUAAGGCGAGGCCGAAAGGCGUAGUCGAUGGGAAACAGGUUAAUAUUCCUGUACUUGGUGUUACUGCGAAGGGGGGACGGAGAAGGCUAUGUCGGCCGGGCGACGGUUGUCCCGGUUUAAGCGUGUAGGCUGACUUUCCAGGCAAAUCCGGAAGGUUAAGGCUGAGGCGUGAUGACGAGGCACCACGGUGCUGAAGUGACAAAUGCCCUGCUUCCAGGAAAAGCCUCUAAGCAUCAGGUAACAUCAAAUCGUACCCCAAACCGACACAGGUGGUCAGGUAGAGAAUACCAAGGCGCUUGAGAGAACUCGGGUGAAGGAACUAGGCAAAAUGGUGCCGUAACUUCGGGAGAAGGCACGCUGACAUGUAGGUGAAGCCCCUGCGGGUGGAGCUGAAGUCAGUCGAAGAUACCAGCUGGCUGCAACUGUUUAUUAAAAACACAGCACUGUGCAAACACGAAAGUGGACGUAUACGGUGUGACGCCUGCCCGGUGCCGGAAGGUUAAUUGAUGGGGUUAUCGCAAGAGAAGCUCCUGAUCGAAGCCCCGGUAAACGGCGGCCGUAACUAUAACGGUCCUAAGGUAGCGAAAUUCCUUGUCGGGUAAGUUCCGACCUGCACGAAUGGCGUAAUGAUGGCCAGGCUGUCUCCACCCGAGACUCAGUGAAAUUGAACUCGCUGUGAAGAUGCAGUGUACCCGCGGCAAGACGGAAAGACCCCGUGAACCUUUACUACAGCUUGACACUGAACAUUGAGCCUUGAUGUGUAGGAUAGGUGGGAGGCUUUGAAGCGUGGACGCCAGUCUGCGUGGAGCCGACCUUGAAAUACCACCCUUUAAUGUUUGAUGUUCUAACCUGGCGCC
rnacentral:rRNA from 1 species